UACAGAGGCCCCAAGCGUUACUGAGAAUCACUGGGUUUAAAGGGUGCGUAGGUGGCGCGUUAAGUCCGUUGUGAAAUCCCUGGGCUCAACCCAGGAAUUGCUUCGGAUACUGGCGUGCUUGAGGCUAGUAGGGGUCACUGGAACUGACGGUGGAGCGGUGAAAUGCGUAGAUAUCGUCUGGAACGCCAAAGGUGAAAACAGACUGCUGGGAGUGUGCUGACGCUGAGACACGAAAGCCAGGGGAGCAAACGGG
rnacentral:rRNA from 1 species